GACGAACGCUGGCGGCGUGCUUAACACAUGCGAGUCGUACGGUAAGGCCCUUUCGGGGGUCCACGAGUGGCGCACGGGUGAGUAACACGUGAGUAACCUGCCCACAACUUUGGGAUAACGCUAGGAAACUGGUGCUAAUACUGGAUAUGUGCUCCUGCUGCAUGGUGGGGGUUGGAAAGCUCCGGCGGUUGUGGAUGGACUCGCGGCCUAUCAGCUUGUUGGUGGGGUAGUGGCCUACCAAGGCGGCGACGGGUAGCCGGCCUGAGAGGGUGACCGGCCACAUUGGGACUGAGAGACGGCCCAGACUCCUACGGGAGGCAGCAGUGGGGAAUAUUGCACAAUGGGCGCAAGCCUGAUGCAGCAACGCCGCGUGCGGGAUGACGGCCUUCGGGUUGUAAACCGCUUUCAGCAGGGACGAAGCUUUUUGUGACGGUACCUGCAGAAGAAGCACCGGCUAACUACGUG
rnacentral:rRNA from 1 species